rnacentral:tRNA from 1 species
GCACCCGUAGCUCAACUGGAUAGAGCGUCUGGCUACGGACCAGAAGGUUGUGGAUUCGAGCUCUGCCGGGUGCG